UUUGCAGAUAACAAAAUGCAUCAAUCCUAAGGAGAUGUUUUUUGCUCUUCUUCUCCUUUAAUUUGCUAUGGGUCAAAUUACAAAUUCGACCUUUGUGUCUUAAUCAACAUACAAGGAAAAAAGAUCCCGAAUUCAUUUUUUGUGUCUCAAUCAAUGUUAGAAGAAAAAAAAAGAGAUAUGAGUUUGUGGACUUUCAAUUUGAGAGGUGUGUGUAUUCCAGAAGGAGAAUAAUAAUCAAAGGUUUGUAUUUUCGUUUUGUGUCCUUUUUUUUCAUAAUAA